UACGUAGGUGGCAAGCGUAAUCCGGAUUUAUUGGGUGUAAAGGGCGUGUAGGCGGGAGCGCAAGUCAGAUGUGAAAACUCAGGGCUCAACCCUGAGCCUGCAUUUGAAACUGUGUUUCUUGAGUGCUGGAGAGGCAAUCGGAAUUCCGUGUGUAGCGGUGAAAUGCGUAGAUAUACGGAGGAACACCAGUGGCGAAGGCGGAUUGCUGGACAGUAACUGACGCUGAGGCGCGAAAGCGUGGGGAGCAAACAGG
rnacentral:rRNA from 1 species